rnacentral:rRNA from 1 species
GACAGAGGGUGCAAACGUUGUUCGGAAUUACUGGGCGUAAAGCGUGUGUAGGCGGCUUUGCAAGUCGGAUGUGAAAGCCCCGGGCUCAACCCGGGAAGUGCACUCGAUACUGCAGAGCUUGAGUGUCGGAGAGGUUGGGUGGAAUUCUCGGUGUAGAGGUGAAAUUCGUAGAUAUCGAGAGGAACACCGGCGGCGAAGGCGGCCAACUGGACGGAACACUGACGCUGAGACACGAAAGCGUGGGGAGCAAACAGG